GACGAACGCUGGCGGCGUGCCUAAUACAUGCAAGUCGAACGCUGAAGGAGGAGCUUGCUUCUCUGGAUGAGUUGCGAACGGGUGAGUAACGCGUAGGUAACCUGCCUGGUAGCGGGGGAUAACUAUUGGAAACGAUAGCUAAUACCGCAUAACAGUAGAUAUCGCAUGAUAUCUACUUGAAAGGUGCAAUUGCAUCACUACCAGAUGGACCUGCGUUGUAUUAGCUAGUUGGUGAGGUAACGGCUCACCAAGGCGACGAUACAUAGCCGACCUGAGAGGGUGAUCGGCCACACUGGGACUGAGACACGGCCCAGACUCCUACGGGAGGCAGCAGUAGGGAAUCUUCGGCAAUGGACGGAAGUCUGACCGAGCAACGCCGCGUGAGUGAAGAAGGGUGUCGGAUCGUAAAGCUCUGUUGUAAGAGAAGAACGGGUGUGAGAGUGGAAAGUUCACACUGUGACGGUAGCUUACCAGAAAGGGACGGCUAACUACGUG
rnacentral:rRNA from 1 species